UACGAAGGGGGCUAGCGUUGCUCGGAAUCACUGGGCGUAAAGCGCACGUAGGCGGAUUUCUAAGUCGGGGGUGAAAUCCUGGAGCUCAACUCCAGAACUGCCUUUGAUACUGGAGAGCUUGAGUCCGGGAGAGGUGAGUGGAACUGCGAGUGUAGAGGUGAAAUUCGUAGAUAUUCGCAAGAACACCAGUGGCGAAGGCGGCUCACUGGCCCGGUACUGACGCUGAGGUGCGAAAGCGUGGGGAGCAAACAGG
rnacentral:rRNA from 1 species